rnacentral:rRNA from 1 species
GGAGCGAAUCUCCAAAAAUUAGUCCCAGUUCAGAUUGCAGGCUGCAACUCGCCUGCAUGAAGUCGGAAUUGCUAGUAAUCGUGGAUCAGCAUGCCACGGUGAAUACGUUCCCGGGCCUUGUACACACCGCCCGUCACACCAUGGGAGUCGGUAACACCCGAAGCCUGUAGUCUAACCGCAAGGAGGACGCAGUCGAAGGUGGGAUUGAUGACUGGGGUGAAGUCGUAACAAGGUACC